GUGGGGAAUAUUGGGCAAUGGGCGCAAGCCUGACCCAGCAACGCCGCGUGAAGGAAGAAGGCUUUCGGGUUGUAAACUUCUUUUACCAGGGACGAAACAAAUGACGGUACCUGGUGAAUAAGCCACGGCUAACUACGUGCCAGCAGCCGCGGUAAUACGUAGGUGGCGAGCGUUAUCCAGAUUUAUUGGGUGUAAAGGGCGUGUAGGCGGGACAGCAAGUCAGAUGUGAAAACCAGAGGCUCAACCUCUGGCCUGCAUUUGAAACUGUUGUUCUUGAGUGUCGGAGAGGUAAUCGGAAUUCCGUGUGUAGCGGUGAAAUGCGUAGAUAUACGGAGGAACACCAGUGGCGAAGGCGGAUUACUGGACGAUAACUGACGCUGAGGCGCGAAAGCGUGGGGAGCAAACAGGAUUAGAAACCCGUGUAGUCC
rnacentral:rRNA from 1 species